GCUCACAGGGCAGCUAAAGAGAAGCAGAGAGCAAAGACAGAUACAAAGAAGCAAUAACUACCCAACCCGCUGCCCAACGACAGUAAAAAUGCUCUUGGCAGAGAGAGAAGUUAGCACAGACUGAGAAAGGGGAUUUAUUUUAAUAUCUUUUAACAUAGUUACGAUAAAGUUGUGGUAAUUUCAACGAAGGAUUCCAAAUCUAAGAUCUGGUGCAUCAGAAAAAUGCAAGAAUAAAGAGUAAUAACACGAACGGGAAGGGAAGAGCAAAAACCGAUUUGAGGAACACACGGCGUCGGAAGGGGUAGGGUGCGGGAGUGAAGAGCAAGGAGCGAUAAGACGAACCUACGGAGUCGGGGGGGAUAGGGUGCGGGAGGGAAAAGCAAGGAGCGAUAAGACGAACCCACAGCGUCAGAGGGAGUAGGGUGCGGGAGGGAAGAGCAAGGAGCGAUUAGACGAACCCACGGCGUCGGAGGGGGUAGGGUGCGGGAGGGAAGAGCAAGGAGCGAUUAGACGAACCCACGGCGUCGGAGGGGAUAGGGUGCGGGAGGGAAGAGCAAGGAGCGAUUAGACGAACCCACGGCGUCGGAGGGAAUAGGGUGCGGGAGGGAAGAUCAAGGAGCGAUAAGACAAAUCCACGGCGUCGGAGGGGGUAGGGGGCGACAGGAGGAUACCCUUGAUAUCCGGGGAAGUUCUUGACACAUGGAAUUUGUACUAAACACAGGCUUGCACUGUAUGCGUAGGAGGGGGGUUGGGGGGUGGGGGGCAAUAUGUGUGAGGCUCUUUGACAAAAUCAUCGAUUGUACUAAAAGUCCUUUUUCUCUUUUAUUAAAAAAAUGCCCUAAUCUAAAUCAGAAUUACAUCCACACGCACACGUGUUCACAGUAUUUCAUGGUUAAUAAAUCCAUUACUGGACAACACUCA